ensembl:lncRNA
CCCCCCCCUCACGCCAGAUAACGAGCAGCCGCUCGGGCCUCCGGUAGUUUGUUAUUGCACGACUGCGAUUGUGAAUAACACGCUCAGCCUCUCCGCUCCGGGGGUUUAGUCUGAUGCGUCUCGCCCGACGCGGAGGAGCCGGAAGGACGCCCAGAUGCCGCUGAUUAACCGGGGCGCAGGAAGCCCGCGUGUAAACACGGAGGAGGACGAGGAGGCCGCCGCCGGCCGCGCCGCUUCUCAUGAGUGUUGUGAGCUGCUGCUGGGCCUGAAUAUCAGAUGGGGGCUUUGAGGAAGGAUUUACACGAGCGCUACUCUGUAAAAUGCUUUUUACUAUUACAGUAGUAGUAGUAUUUGAUCCACUGUUACGUCCUCGUCCAAAUCCGUCCAUCUGAAUCCACAGCAGAAUGAAACACUCGUGUAUUUGAUGUAGAACUAAAGAGAUUGACUCACACACACACACACACGCGCGCACACAGGAGACGCACACUCCCGCAAUCUGCUAAAUUCCCCAGCGUCGAAAAUUCCACAAGUCAGGGAGUGAAUGAAUGCAUCCUUAUAUGCCCCCCCCUCUCUUUCCUGUCUGUGUUCCUCUUCCCGUGUGCGACUCCUGGAUCCCAAAACGCCACCCGAGGAGGCAGCGUCCUAUUUAGGUUCACUUUUACGCGCCCGGCAGAUUUAUGUGAGGAAUCCAGUGGGCUGUUUGGUUCAGGAAGCAAAAGGGGAUCAGCAGGGGAACUAGGGGCUAUCACACACACACACACACACACACACACACACACACACACACACAGAUAGUUGUGUGUACACAUGGAGGAAACACUCAACACACAUAGUCACACGUACAGGAAACACUAAACCGCAAAUACCUACACAACCACGGAUAUAUAUUUACACACACGCACGCGCAAACAUGUGGAGGAAAGCCAUGUCCACAGGACGAGCAUUCACACAUACAGGAAGCACUCGACCCCAAGUGACUGUACACACACACACACACGCACACACGCACACACACACGCACACACACACACACACACGCACACACGCACACACACACGCACACACGCACAGCUACGGGACGAAUGAGUGUUCUAUCAACAGGUCCAACUCCAGUAUCAUUUCCUUCCUGAGGUUCACCGCAAACGUUACAGGCCUGCUGGCUCAUUCGCAGCGUAGAAGGGCGGCUAUCUGGGUCACCACACGUGCACACACGUGCACACACACACACACGCGCACGUAAAGAUUAAGGUACCUCCGACUCGUGCAGAGAGACAGGACAUGCUGGUAGACACAUACAAAGACAUAACAUGCCGCCACAGGACCCUAAAAAAAUGCAAAGAUACCACCCAUGUAAAUGUAGGCUCAUCCCCGACACACACACACACACACACACACACACACACACACAGACACACACACGCCCCCGUAGAGGGAAAGCCCAGAGAGGACGCCGAAGCGAUUCGUUUAUCAUCCGCAGUGCUGACAGAUCCCGGCGAUGUGUGACCGCAAACCAAACAAGCAUCAAUCUCCGGGCUGCAGGAGCAGCAGUGAGGAGUCUGUGAGGAGUCAGUGAGGAGGCUGUGAGGAGUCUGUGAGGAGGCUGUGAGGAGUCAGUGAGGAGGCUGUGAGGAGGCUGUGAGGAGGCUGUGAGGAGUCUGUGAGGAGUCUGUGAGGAGGCUGUGAGGAGUCAGUGAGGAGGCUGUGAGGAGUCUGUGAGGAGGCUGUGAGGAGUCUGUGAGGAGGCUGUGAGGAGUCUGUGAGGAGGCUGUGAGGAGUCAGUGAGGAGGCUGUGAGGAGUCUGUGAGGAUUCUGUGAGGAGUCUGUGAGGAGUCGGUGAGGAGGCUGUGAGGAGGCUGUGAGGAGUCAGUGAGGAGUCUGUGAGGAGGCUGUGAGGAGUCUGUGAGGAGUCGGUGAGGAGGCUGUGAGGAGGCUGUGAGGAGUCAGUGAGGAGUCUGUGAGGAGGCUGUGAGGAGGCGGUGAGGAGGCUGUGAGGAGUCAGUGAGGAGUCUGUGAGGAGGCUGUGAGGAGUCUGUGAGGAGGCGGUGAGUUUCCGUCCACCUGAUGAGAUUAUAUGAACAGUUUAUGGGGGCGUUUCAUCAGCGUUUACCUGCGAUGCUCAAAUAACAAAGAGAAAAGUCUGUUUCCAGCACUUGUUGCUGUUUAGGAAAGUUUGUGUUCACGUUACAAUCCGAUGGAAUCAGGUUGAGAUCAAUGUCACCGACCAAAGGUCCACGGUAGCCAUAGCAACGCAGCUUCGAUGAGCCCCUGAUGGUGAAGAUACGGGGAGAGCUUGAUCUAUUUAUCUACACAUGCUCUUUUUUUGUGCAUUUCCACAUGUCAGCAUGCGCCCAGAUUCCUGCAUGUGUUCCUCAGUGUGUGUGUGUGUGUGUGUGUGUGUGUCGUGUGAUAGCAACAGAAGGCCUAAUAAUACGAGGACGGGGCGAGAGGAAGGAGUUAACCCCCCCCACACACACACACGCACACACACGCACACACACACACACACACACACGUCGGCGGUGAAAGCACCUCUUCAGCACACGGCAGCUGUUCACAUUUCCUGCGUAUUGGAUGUCCGAGCGGUGGCUCUCUCUCGCUCGCUGAGUGCUUUAUUAACAGAUGGACUUCCCGCGCUGCGCUAAUAUUGAGAAAUGGGAGAAAUGUGGAGAGCUGUGUGGACACACACACACACACACACACACACACACAGCUGCUGCUGUUGCUCAGGAAGUGUGUGUGUGUGUAGAUAUUCAUUGCAGUGUUCCCUCUGUUUGCAUGUUUCAGCUGUGUGUGUGUGUGUGUGUUUUUCUGUGCGCAUGAUCCUCUCAAGACUGUACUUGAGUCUUCCGUGUGUGUGUGUGUGUGUGUGUGUGUGUGUGUGUGUGUGUGUGUGUGCGCGUGUGAGCAGCUCGUGUGGGACAGCUAUGUGGCGGAGGAAUUCCCCUUUGACCUCAUCCCGCCACCAUUGAUUCACAUGGAGUGAUUCGAUUAGCAGGAAAACGCUGACGGCUGUCAGCACCUCGCGCGCCGCCACGUUGGACCCCGCCCAGCUAAAGGGCCCGUUUCACCUGUUGGAAGGCGAGCGACCUAAUGCGACCUUCUAGCGGCGGUCCGUCAGAGCGAGCAGCGCGGUGAAGGCACCCAAUGGCCGGAUGACGGCGUUUCUCCAACUCCUUCAGGAGUCCAUGGACUUCAACCUGGAUGCGAUUGUUCGUUUCACUUUGGCUUUUCCUUUUUUUUAAUAACACCUACUCUUUAUUUCCCACACCUCUCCAAACCUUUGCGGUUUACUUGUGUCUCCUUCACACUGUUGUUCCGACUGUUUCUCAUUCAUUCACUGGCUGGGAAGAAGAGAUGUAAACUUGUAAAAGCAACAUAAACACCGAGGGAUCCUUCACAUAACAGGACCAAGCAGACUCAUUGAGAGAAGAUCUGUGAUCACCUCACAGCGGGUUCUCACACCCAUUGGAGACCACAUUCUUAAGAGAUUGGGGAUUCCCCAUUUCUGUCAGUGGGAGGAAUAACUUCACAUCGCCCGGAGCCGGCGGCGUAGACUGCUUUCCGUCUCUCCGUCCGCCCCGAGCCACAGACAAAGCUAUGAACCGCAAACAUGAUUAUCAUAAUCAGUUUAGUCCCCGAAGGUUAAAAGCAGCAACAUCUGAUGGACUCAAGAAAGUCAAGAAAGCUUCGAAAGCCUCAUUUUCACUGUAGAGAGUUUGAUAAGACACCAAUUGCCCGAGUCCAUUACUGAAAUUACCCCUAAACCUCAUCCGUCCCCCUCGGCUUCCUGCAGCUUGACCUGGCACACGGUCCCUGGCACGGCGUGACUUAUUACCCCCCCCCGCGCCCGCCGCUCCUGCCAACCGCCUCUCGCCCAUUCGUCACCCGGGUAUGUAAACGCAACCGAGCGCUUCCUCCGCGUACGGACGACACAAACCAGGCAGCUUCCUGUGUACCUCCGGCGGGUCGGGAUGGCAAGGGGGAGCAACACGGAGUCUGUGUUUAUCUCAAGUGUCUCCCGCCAUCCGCAGACGCAUUUGUUAACUCAGCCAACCAUCAAGAGUGCCGCUCGCCUCAGAGCUGCACUCGCUCGGCGGGAACAGGCCGCCGAUGGACGGCGCUGUUUGAUAGGUUUUUUUCUCCCCCUCACCCCCCACCCCCCCC